ACACCACAGUCCUUAAUGCUUGUCAUUCUUUCAAACUCCUCACAGACUCCAUCACCAUCAUGAAAAUAGCAUCUGCUGGGCUCAUCUGCAAUGGGAUAGACAUGUUUUUACUUCCAGCUGCCAGAAAGAUGCUUGUAUAGAAAAUAGACAGCAGGUGCCGACACCAACACGCCUUCCUCUCCGCUCCUGCACCAGUGAGGUCCAUGUGGGGGCCAAGGGAUUGAAGGAGGCCCCAAGGGGAUCCUAAGGUCUUCCUCAUUAAAAAUCUGGCAUGGAGUGGCACACAAAGGACAUGAAAAGAAAAUGAAAACUGGAAGGAAAGAUUGUGGGAUGCAAAUAAACUAAGCUACAGAAACAAGACAAUCUGAUAAAAGUCAAUGGAUAUGACAAACAUCUAGACAAGUGGGCAGCAUAGCAAUAUAUUUAUAGAGCACGUUUUUAUCUACAUAUAAGCAGUUAAUACUGAGCAAUUAGAAUUGUAUUAUUUAAGACUAAUACCAAUGCAUUAAUAAUGUUAAAAGUACAGCACAGUGAUGUAUAAUGUUGUAAAGACAACAAGAGACUCCACAAUCUAUUUUCCAGCUAUAAAAGAGUGGAAGUUCACAGGACUCUAAUUUAUAGCCAUGCACAUUUUCUUUGUUCAUUUAACCUUAUUAGGAAUGCCAUUUUAAUAUCAUAAAUAAAUAUGUAGAUUGUCUGUACAUGUCAAGGAAAAGCCCUAAGUUCUGCCUGACAAAAACUCCUUGCUGGCACAACUUACUCGGUACAAAUAAGGAUGUAUGCCUGUGGGGUCUAGGCAGAAUUGGUUGUUAUGGAUCUAUGGAGGGAUUUGAUUUCAUUUUAUGCUCUUGGCAACAAAUGAGAGAUUUGAACUCUUUAGAAGUGGAAUGAGUUUAAAAUAUAACAAUAAAGGCUUCUAUACUUGGGUAUUUAUUUCUCCAUUUAAGUUGCACCAAAUCUGAAUGAACACCCAACGAGGCAUACAUGUAUAACAAUGAUUAGAAUACUGCAGUAGCAAACUAGAACACAUAACUACAAUAGCAUAUAUAACCAUUAUACUUGAUACUUCUGCCUGACGUAAAUACACAUUCAAAAACUACUGAGUUAAAUCUGGAUCUACUACUACUAAUAUACUACUACUAAUAAAAAAUAUUACACUUGUUUCAGUCAGUUUAGACUACUACUUCAACAUUACCUAUCAGUACUAUACUGAUACAUCUCUGUUUAUCCUUGUACUAGCUCCGCAUACAUCAGGAUUAAAUAUCUGGCCAUACAAAAAAUCAAUCAGCCAAUCAGGUAAUUUCUGGCAAUGUCAGACCACACACAAUAAGAUUAAAGGCUGUCUAAACAGAAUCUGUAGUAGCAAUGUCUCCCAUAGGAAGGUGAGUAGACAAUAGAUAAACUGGAAUGUUUACAUUGGCUGACCUGGAAAUGCCCAUCUCUGUAUCUCUGUGUUUGGUGUGGUUUGAUUGUCUCAUAAGGCUGAACAAGCAGAACAGUCCACCAAAUGUUUGGCAAAAUCAUACAUUAUGGCUGACCAUAUAGAAAGCCAUUCAGUCUACAGGCCAGAUUGCACUUGCUAAAAUAUGGAUAUGACCAACCUAGUCAUAUGAUCCAUUGUCAUAUUAUCACAGGUUUAUUGUGGAUAGCAAUACAGUGCUUGCCUAGUGCUGACCAGCCGACUGAUCUGACUAGGUUUUGUUUUAUAAAAAUGCGUGGAGCACAUUUCAUGUAAAAAUGAAAGAACCCUGUGUGUAUCAGGUCUAACUUACAGUUACAGUAAAGAUCCUUUAUCAUGUAGGCAUAUGGCAACAGUGUAAAGGUUGGUGGUUCAAAAACUCAAAAUUCUACUAUCUCUAAUCAGUAUUAAAAUCGAUUAUUAUAUUAUUAUGUUUUCUUCUUGCACCCCAUUACUUUCUCUUGUCUUCUUCUUUAUUUUACCAACAUAUCUUUUUGAAGGAACAGUUCUGAGCAAUAUGUGAAAUCUGUACUGCACAUCUGUUGCUCUACUAAUAAGAAUAUGUGGAGCGCAAGAAGAAAACAAAAGGGAUCGUAGUUGAGCAGAAGAAGGGAGAAUAAAAAUGAAUUUAAAGAAAUAUGUAAAGCAGAAGUCAAAGUUAGAAGAAAGAGAAAGCUUUGGUUAGAAAGCUCCAACAUUUUACACUGCUGCCAUGUGCCUAAACCACUAGCCUAUCAGAGCCAUUGAUAAUACUGGUGGUUCAAAAUGACCUUAUCCUUAUUAAGCUUGCAAUGCAGUGAUAAAAAAAA